rnacentral:rRNA from 1 species
UACGUAGGGUGCAAGCGUUGUCCGGAAUUAUUGGGCGUAAAGAGCUCGUAGGCGGUUUGUCGCGUCUGCUGUGAAAACUCGGGGCUUAACCCCGGGCCUGCAGUGGGUACGGGCAGACUAGAGUGCGGUAGGGGGAGACUGGAAUUCCUGGUGUAGCGGUGAAAUGCGCAGAUAUCAGGAGGAACACCGGUGGCGAAGGCGGGUCUCUGGGCCGUAACUGACGCUGAGGAGCGAAAGCGUGGGGAGCAAACAGG